rnacentral:rRNA from 1 species
CCUACGGGUGGCAGCAGUCGGGAAUAUUGCGCAAUGGAGGAAACUCUGACGCAGUGACGCCGCGUGCAGGAAGAAGGUUUUCGGAUUGUAAACUGCUUUAGACAGGGAAGAAACAAGACAGUACCUGUAAAAUAAGCUCCGGCUCACUACGUGCCAGCAGCCGCGGUAAUACGUAGGGAGCAAGCGUUAUCCGGAUUUAUUGGGUGUAAAGGGUGCGUAGACGGGACGUCAAGUUGGUUGUGAAAUCCCUCGGCUUAACUGAGGAACUGCAACCAAAACUAACUUUCUUGAGUGCUGGAGAGGAAAGGGGAAUUCCUAGUGGAGCGGUGAGAUGCGUAGAUAUUAGGGGGAACAACAGGGGAGAGGGGGAGU